UGUUUUCUCUUCCCAGUGAUGCCCAGGAUGCUAGCGAGCGGCUACAGAUACGACUCAUUUCAUGUGGAGCAGCAAUGGAAGCUACUCGAACAACCACGGUGACCAAGAUCAACGUCCGUGGCCAUAUUUGGGCGAACUCUUUUCUUUUGUCGGAGUGAAAGUUUCUUCCUACCGGAUGAAGUGCCUCUUAUGCCGACCGAAAGCUACGGAGAUACUGGCCUUCAACAACUCACCAACCUCAGGAAACACAUUGAGGAAUGGACUACAUCAAGCAGCACAUGGAAGAACCCUCCCUGCAGCUAUGUGAUGCCACCAGGUCCAGUUCAUCUGAUGAAGAGGACUUCUUCUUCAUCUCAAGCGCAUGACAGCAGCAAACAGCUGGAUGGAGACGUGGAUCACGUUGACUUGCUGAAAUGCUUCCCAACUGUGUGCUGCUGUCUGUGAAGCUAGACACACUCUACCUGCAUCAGGGCCUGUGAAGCUAGACACACUCUACCUGCACCAGGGCCUGUGAAGCUAGACACACUCUACCUGCACCAUCAGGGCCUGUGAAGCUAGACACACUCUACCUGCAUCAUGUGAACGGCUCUUCAGCAUCGCAGGACUCGUCUUCAGCCCCAGAAGAGCGACGCUGACAUCUGUCCAUUUUGAAAAUCAACUUCUUUUGAAGAUGAACAAGAAUUUGUUCACUUUAAAGUGAUGAUUCUGGUUGUUACUUUUGGUUCUGCUUUUUUCUGUGUUAAACGUGUUUUUAUAUUUUAGUAAUUUCAUAGUAUUCAUAUAUUGCUAAGUUCAUCCGAGCUCAUACUCCUUGUUCAUGGCGGCCACAGCACCCAAACAAAUAAACUUCAUAAUUCUCAAAA